GUGCCAGCCGCCGCGGUAAUACCAGCACCCCGAGUGGUCGGGACGAUUAUUGGGCCUAAAGCAUCCGUAGCCGGUCCUACAAGUCUUCCGUUAAAUCCACCUGCUCAACAGAUGGGCUGCGGAAGAUACUAUAGGGCUAGGAGGCGGGAGAGGCAAGCGGUACUCAGUGGGUAGGGGUAAAAUCCUCUGAUCCAUUGAAGACCACCAGUGGCGAAGGCGGCUUGCCAGAACGCGCUCGACGGUGAGGGAUGAAAGCUGGGGGAGCAAACCGGAUUAGAAACCCCGGUAGUCC
rnacentral:rRNA from 1 species